rnacentral:tRNA from 1 species
CUUCGAGCUGGUGCACACCGGAUCGAUCGGGGCGCUCUUGGCGCCCGGAGCCGACGCGGUCGCCGCGUGCUUCGAGGCC